ACAGCAGUAGCCGCGGUAAAACGUAGGUGGCAAGCGUUGUCCGGAAUUAUUGGGCGUAAAGGGCUCGCAGGCGGUUUCUUAAGUCUGAUGUGAAAGCCCCCGGCUCAACCGGGGAGGGUCAUUGGAAACUGGGAAACUUGAGUGCAGAAGAGGAGAGUGGAAUUCCACGUGUAGCGGUGAAAUGCGUAGAGAUGUGGAGGAACACCAGUGGCGAAGGCGACUCUCUGGUCUGUAACUGACGCUGAGGAGCGAAAGCGUGGGGAGCGAACAGGAUUAGAUACCCCCGUAGUCCCUGUCUCUUAUAC
rnacentral:rRNA from 1 species